rnacentral:rRNA from 1 species
GAUGAACGCUGGCGGCAGGCCUAAUACAUGCAAGUCGGACGGGAUCCAUCGGUAGCUUGCUAUCCAUGGUGAGAGUGGCGCACGGGUGCGUAACGCGUGAGCAACCUGCCUCCAUCAGGGGGAUAGCCUCUCGAAAGAGAGAUUAACACCGCAUAACAUAUCAGACCGGCAUCGGUCGGAUAUCAAAUAUUUAUAGGAUGGAGAUGGGCUCGCGUGACAUUAGCUUGUUGGUGGGGUAACGGCCCACCAAGGCGACGAUGUCUAGGGGCUCUGAGAGGAGAAUCCCCCACACUGGUACUGAGACACGGACCAGACUCCUACGGGAGGCAGCAGUAAGGAAUAUUGGUCAAUGGGCGGAAGCCUGAACCAGCCAUGCCGCGUGCAGGAUGACUGCCCUAUGGGUUGUAAACUGCUUUUGUCCGGGAAUAAACCUCCUUACGUGUAGGGAGCUGAAUGUACCGGAAGAAUAAGGAUCGGCUAACUCCGUG